rnacentral:rRNA from 1 species
ACGAACGCUGGCGGCGUGCUUAACACAUGCAAGUCGAGCGGUAAGGCCUUUCGGGGUACACGAGCGGCGAACGGGUGAGUAACACGUGAGCAACCUGCCCCUGACUCUGGGAUAAGCGCUGGAAACGGCGUCUAAUACUGGAUACGAGACGUGAUCGCAUGGUCAACGUUUGGAAAGAUUUUUCGGUUGGGGAUGGGCUCGCGGCCUAUCAGCUUGUUGGUGAGGUAAUGGCUCAUCAAGGCGUCGACGGGUAGCCGGCCUGGGAGGGUGACCGGCCACCCUGGGACUGAGACACGGCCCAGACUCCUACGGGAGGCAGCAGUGGGGAAUAUUGCACAAUGGGCGCAAGCCUGAUGCAGCAACGCCGCGUGCGGGAUGACGGCCUUCGGGUUGUAAACCUCUUUUAGCAGGGAAGAAGCGAGAGUGACGGUACCUGCAGA